rnacentral:rRNA from 1 species
UACGGAGGAUCCAAGCGUUAUCCGGAAUCAUUGGGUUUAAAGGGUCCGUAGGCGGUUUAAUAAGUCAGGGGUGAAAUCUGGUCGCUCAACGAUCAAACGGCCAUUGAUACUGUUAGACUUGAAUUACUGGGAAGUAACUAGAAUAUGUAGUGUAGCGGUGAAAUGCUUAGAUAUUACAUGGAAUACCAAUUGCGAAGGCAGGUUACUACCAGUGGAUUGACGCUGAUGGACGAAAGCGUGGGGAGCGAACCGG